AUUUGAAAUAACCGCAAAAAUGAUACUUUAGUACGACGUCGACAAAUGUGUUGGACGGAUUCUUCUUCGAAUGAUACGACUCGCUGGUGGAUUAAAAAUCCAACGAGAAAAAUCAUGCCGUGUUGUCUCCAAACGCUACGACCUCCCUGUUUAGAAUCUUGGCAAAGGUGUGUCUUGCAAGAACUCUCUCGAAUAACGCAACUUGACGAUGGAUCGGAAAGCCAACAAGAAAGAUCGUGCCGUUUUGUCUCCAAACGAUAUCACCUCCGGUGAGUUGAAUAAUCAUUUGUUUCACACAGUGUGGCUGAAUGGCAGAGAAGGGAAGGAGGAAGAACAACGAGUAUCAAAAUAUAACCAUUUAAUUAGAAUUUUACUAACUUUCGGUAUAAAGACCUAGAAUACAAGAUUUCCACCUAUAUAAUUAUAGGUAUGUCUUGGUUGUGUGUCGUAUGUGUGUGUGUUGCGACACUAAAUUUUAAUUUAAAAGGUACUCUAUAAACGCAUCACAGCUCUCGUGACACAUCGCACAGUCAUGUAAACUCCAUUGUCACAUAUCGCGUGUAUCGUAUUCACCUAGGUAACUCUUUUAACAAGCUAUUCGACGGCAAUACAAUCGAAGAAAAAACUUAACGUGAUCGAGAUUCGUUCACCGCCCUGGUAACGACCAACGUUGACUCGCGGUAAAAACUUGUGAUUGCGGCAGUGAUUAAUCGGCACGAAUCGAAAUCCGAGGAGACGAUGUGUAUUGCAUAUAUGUAUGGUGCAUAUAAUGUAAAAUGUACCCUGAGAAUAAAAAUACUUGAAAAUUUGUAGAGUAUAAAGUUUAUUUCACAGAAAUAUUUCUGUGAAAUAAACUUUAUACUCUACAAAUUUUCAAGUAUUUUUUCUCAACACAUAUAUAUGAGAAUGAUUUAUACGCACUGGGAGAAACUACUUGAACACUUACUUAUGGGAUAUAUAAAGUUUAAUUCUGUGAAAUAAAAUUUAUUUUUGUGAGUAAACUUUAUAUCCCACAAAUAAAUUUUCAAGUGUUUUUUUCUUAGUAUAUGUAUGUAAAAGUGAUGUACAUACACUGAGAGAGAGAAAGAGAAAAAGAAGAAUUACUUGAAUAUUUAUCUGUGGGAUAUAAAAUUUAUUUCUAUGAAUAAACUUUAUAUCCCGCAAAUAAAUUUCCAAAUAUUACUUUCUCAGUGCAAACUGGCUAGAUUUUCUAGAUGUUCGACCCUUUGUAACAAGUAGAACUUGUAGAAUUUAAGUAGAAAAAUCCUCCGCUAUUUUGUAGAGGAACUACGCGACAAUUAUCGAAAUAUUAACAAAAAAAAUUGAUCAAUCUACGCGCACGAUGCGGUGGGAUAAAGACUGCUAUGCAGAGCGAUCUAAAAACACGCAUCUCGAAUUAGUUUCCGUUUCAAGCUAUGUGUUUGCAAAUAGCACUACAGAGCUGGAGUUAACUCGUCAACGUCGUCGUCGCUCAUCGGGCGGAUUUUAAAACGAGUACACAUUCCGAUCCUGAACGACGCGAGGAUCAAGGAGAUGUCGUCGAGAGAGAUCUAGAGGACGGCCCGGUUCAUUAAACAUCCUCCCGACGUUUCUUAGGCUCUCUCGUGUCGCUCGGGCAUCAACUUGACAUUUGAUCAAGUAACAGAUGGCUUCUGGUUAAAAUUGACUUCCCUCCGCGAACGAAUCCGACGCGCUCUCUACCUCUUUCGCGCUGACAGAAUUUCGUAUUAAAAAACAUUGUUAUAUAAAAUAGAAAUGUAUAUCGGCCGGGAGUAUUCGAAGCAGAGUACUCGAUCUCCUCCGUUGACUCGACGAGGAGAGUUAACGUACAACCGCCUCGGAAAGUGUCGGAGUAUAGGAUUCGAGGAUAAUAGGCUCUCUACAUGCGCUACGUUUCAGUGCGUUUGCUUCACCUCCAGCAAUUGGGGAUAAUUCUCCACAAUGUUCAGCAGGAUCCCGUCGAUGUACGUUCUCAACUGUGUAUUCACUUCUUGCUGUUCCUUCAAUGCCUGCUUCAUCUGCAAUACAAUAACAAUGAUUUACUCAGAGUUGCUCUGAGAACGCAGCGAUUGGUGAAAUUUCGGACUAACUUUUUUACUUCAUUUGAUUCAACUUGAUUUCAUCCGAUUUAACUUGUGAUACAUACCUCAGCCAUCGUGCACAGUUCGCCGAAUUCCUCGAAUCUUUGGCCGUCUAUCUGUGAAACGAUUAGAAAGUCGGCGUUAAUGAGGUGGUUAUUCGCGAUCGCUAACCAGUCACUGUAUCAAACGACGAUAGCGCCAGUAGUACAAUGGAUUAGCAGGUGACUCAUUAUGCUCUAUUCACCACUAAUCGAUAAAUUGUUAUAGAAAAUUAGACUUUCUAAUCGAUCUGACAUUACGACAAGGAUAGAGUACCUGAUCUGGAUUCAUGCCGGCUAACAGCUCUACGGCGAGACUAGGUCCCUUCUCGGCGCUGUUAUUGCAAGGAUUUAACAUUAAAAGUUCACGACCUGCUUGCAACGCUGCAGCGGCCUGUAGUUCGUCCCGAGAUUCUUCCAAACCUGCGAAAUCAUGUGCAAGAUGUUACAACAUGAUCAGCUAUCAAGAAGAUAAGUUAAUCUUUCUACUGUGUUAAAUUGCAUGAUUUACUACUAGGCAAUAUAACCUUAUGUAAUUACAGAUUAGAAAUUUAUUUCAACUUCAUCACUUCGUCGAAAUUUGGUUUUGAUUUUAAAAGUCACAAAUUUAUUUUAAUUUUAAAAGCCAUAGAUAUUUUAUAUUUAUUUAUAUCCAUUCAUUUGUCAUCACAAUUGUAUUCAUUUAGUUCUUGUUAAUGUAAGCUACGUGUUUCACAGCAAAAAUAUCCGAACGUCAAUAGAAAUCAGAGGAGAGGCUCGCGUUAUUUGGUUUAAACACACGCAACUAUAACGGUGAACGUACUCUUAUUACGAGCUUGAAGCUGAGCCACCUGCUGCACCAGUUCCUCGAGUCUCUGUUGAUCCUCGGUGUGCAAGGAAAGUUCCUCUCUCAUGGCUUCGAGCAGAUGAUGAGCCUCGUUCGCUCGGCUCACCGCGUGGCGUUCACUUUCGCGCGCAGCGUCUGUUUCCCUCCUGGCCUCCUGCAGAUCGUUCUCGAGCCGCGUCUUAUCUGUCCGCGCUCUCUCUAGCUGUUCGCGAACUCGCGCGAUCUCGUCUCGUAGACUAGAGCUGUCCAGCUCCACCGCUUGCAGCUUGAUCGCAUAGUUCUCUAGCUGUAACUGGCGCUCGCGUUCCAAACGACACGCCCAUUCUCGAUGCCUUCGUUGCUCAGCCUGUGAAAGAUUAAGAAAAAAGUACUGCAAAUAUUUUCUUAACUUAAAUUUUGUUAACUUAAGUUAAAACUGCCAACGCAUGGAAUUCGAAACAGAGUCUCAUUUGCGUGAAAUUUUUCCAAGUCGUAGUCGCAAUUAGUCUUGUUACAGCACCUUUCACUUUUUCAGACUCUCGACUGGAGCGUGGAUUAUAAAACAAUCUGUGACUUGUAAAUCUCUUUCUGUAAACACGAUUUUGUGUUUAAAGUCAACGCGACGGAAAGAGAUUUAUCCUGUUAUCUUAUCCCGGUUUUUCACCGCUAUCUUUAUUCGCAAUUAAUUGAACACGACGUUACAGGAUACGGGUGAGACACCUACUUGAAGCCUCUCCUCUGCUCUCGUUUCCGCAUCUUUGGCCGCUUCCUCGAGCAUCAAUAUGCGCGCCUGUAACGUCGCAUUCUCCUGCUUCGCUCGAGCAUACCUCUCCUCACCGACCGACUUAGUAUCCACCAAAGCAUGCAUCUGCUCUUGGAUCAUUUGAACCUGCAGCAUACGAAGAAGAGAAGUUUAACGUUUCGUGAAACAUAGAAAUGAAAAAAGGA